UUCUUCAUGUGCCUGGGUAUCUGUUUUCCAUCUCCCUUGGGUCAUUAUGUCGUUGCCAAGUAGAUUAUGUACUGCUACACGGACGGAGCCUGGAGGCCUCAUGUGCCGCGACGAUAGCUGCGUCGUCUCCGGAUAUUCGGCGUUCCAUUCGAACGGAUUUGGGGGUUAAAACGCAAGAUGGAUGGGCUGGACCUUAAAGAGUUGCGUAUCGACCUAAAUCUGACGCUGGUAUUGAAUAAUAUGUAACAUCUUGGUCACCGUCGUACUGCACCCAGACAAUGCCAAGCAAAGAUGCACCACAAAAGAAGGGUGAUGUUGGUGAAUCCCAUAAUGUAUAUGUAGGGUGGAGCAACUAAUAAUGAACGGUUAUCCUAUGUGCCAACCAAAAUAAUAUACAGUACACUAAUUUGCCCCUUUGAGAUGUACA